ensembl:snRNA U6 U6 spliceosomal RNA
GUGCUCGCUUCGGCAGCACAUAUACUAAAAUUGGAACGAUACAGAGAAGAUUAGCAUGAGGAUGACACGCAAAUUCGUGAAGCGUUCCAUUUCUUU